rnacentral:rRNA from 1 species
UACAGAGGGGGCAAGCGUUAUUCGGAAUUAUUGGGCGUAAAGGGCGCGUAGGCGGCUUGGCAAGUGGAUGGUGAAAUCCCUCGGCUUAACCGAGGAACUGCCGUCCAAACUGCUUGGCUUGAGACCGGGAGAGGUGAGUGGAAUUCCCAGUGUAGCGGUGAAAUGCGUAGAUAUUGGGAGGAACACCAGUGGCGAAGGCGGCUCACUGGACCGGUACUGACGCUGAUGCGCGAAAGCGUGGGGAGCAAACAGG